AACUAACGCUGGCAGUGCGUCUUAAGCAUGCAAGUCAAACGGGAUGUAGCAAUACAUCUAGUGGCGAACGGGUGAGUAACGCGUGGAUGAUCUACCUAUGAGAUGGGGAUAACUACUAGAAAUAGUAGCUAAUACCGAAUAAGGUCAAUUAAUUUGUUAAUUGAUGAAAGGAAGCCUUUAAAGCUUCGCUUGUAGAUGAGUCUGCGUCUUAUUAGUUAGUUGGUGGGGUAAAUGCCUACCAAGGCGAUGAUAAGUAACCGGCCUGAGAGGGUGAACGGUCACACUGGAACUGAGAUACGGUCCAGACUCCUACGGGAGGCAGCAGCUAAGAAUCUUCCGCAAUGGGCGAAAGCCUGACGGAGCGACACUGCGUGAAUGAAGAAGGUCGAAAGAUUGUAAAAUUCUUUUAUAAAUGAGGAAUAAGCUUUGUAGGAAAUGACAAAGUGAUGACGUUAAUUUAUGAAUAAGCCCCGGCUAAUUACGUGCCAGCAGCCGCGGUAAUACGUAAGGGGCGAGCGUUGU
rnacentral:rRNA from 1 species